UACUAACUGCCUUCAGAACGUUGAGUCAAACAGGCAACACUUUCAACGAUGAUUUAUGUAGAAUCUCCAGUAGAAUGAUGGCAAGAAGAAGGUAUAGUCCUCCAUGUCCGACUAUUCCAGGAUGUGAGAGUUUAAUUAAAUCGAUGUUUGUAUUUAGUGGGAUUACUGCACAAUGUGGUAUGGUGGAACAUUGAAUGUCCAGUUUGGUAACUUGGUGGAAAUUUCGUGCUGAGAGAGAAACCUGACCAAUGUGGUCGCUGCCUUCCAAGUUUCAUGUUCAAGCCUUGGACGCAUAUUCGGCGGUUUGAUAAGGAGACGGAGUAGAUACAGUCCGAGAGGCGGCACGUUUGGUGAUUUCGGUUCACAAACCGUGUGGAUGUAUGCGACUUCUUUAUUGAAACGUGUCGUUCAAGAUAUAACGAUGCGUUUUCCUACGGGAUGAAUUUGAUAUUCAUGGAGGGAAACUCAUCCAGUCCUACUUUUCCAAGAGUCUUUUUGAAGAGUCACGUGGUCUAUUUAUGAAGACUGAAAAGACUGAGGACACAAAACAACAAGAUCAUGGCACAGGGGAAGAUAUAAGUAGGGCAGCAUCGGAGCAUGGCUGACUGUCUGGACUAUUUCAGCACAGCUCAGUUCAGACAAGAAUCGGCUUCCUAGCCGUCGCUUCUUAACCAGGGGCCAAGCCCCCCUCCGGCACAUUCCUCCUUCACCACCUUCUCUCUCCCCUCCUCUCUGAGAUCAAUGCUCC